CGCUGACGCAGCUGGCUGGCCUCCUGCUCCUGGUCUCCCGGAGGCUCCCUGCCCUCAGCAAUAGAAGUGCCCUGGUCUUUGCCAGAACCAAACAGUGGUCACAGCCAGGACCUGCACCAGGGGUCUUGAAUCACCUUGUCCGGUUCCCAGAUGCCCCUCCUGCUCUCUGAAUGGAGCCCACCCUCAACAAGCACUCCGGCAGGACCAGGUGCCAUGAAGACACUGCCACUUGGAAUCUGAUAAGCAACAUUUGGUACCAAGCCCAGAUCAGCUUUUCAUCACCCUAGACAAGAGAUGUGCUUGGGACUCUGCAGUCUCCCCUGAAGCCCUCAGGCAGGAGUGUUUGGUGUCUCAGCCUGAAAGGAGCAGUAAUGGUAGGAUUGAAGGCACACAGCAAUCCAGGAAGAAGGCAAUGCUGUACCUGGUGUUUCUGUGGGAAAGACCUUCACACUGACAUUUUGAUUUGAUCGUGAAUGUUGAUGAACACCAGGCCUACUUAUGCACAAGAGCUUCUGACCUGAGAUCAGAGCAGGAAACAGAAUUUUAAAGAAAUGUCUCAAGAGUCAUAGAAGGCAGGAGCCAAGAAGUGAUCACUAUUGACCUCAAGCUCAAAGAUCCAUGGGAAGUAGCAAAACUCAACAGUGGUGAAUCCCUGGGUCCUUGGUCAAAGGUCCUGAGGUGUUGAGGUCAAAUCAGAAGAGAAAAUGCAAAUUUGUCCAUGUGAGAAAUUUAUUUCAAAAAGGCAGAUCCAAAAAUUUGACUUGGCAAAGUGUGGUGGGUUUUGUAAAUAAAAAUAAAUGGUUAUAAAGAGGAGCUGACUGU
rnacentral:lncRNA from 1 species